rnacentral:rRNA from 1 species
AUUGAACGCUGGCGGCAGGCCUAACACAUGCAAGUCGAGCGGUAGAGAGGUGCUUGCACCUCUUGAGAGCGGCGGACGGGUGAGUAAUGCCUAGGAAUCUGCCUGGUAGUGGGGGAUAACGCUCGGAAACGGACGCUAAUACCGCAUACGUCCUACGGGAGAAAGCAGGGGACCUUCGGGCCUUGCGCUAUCAGAUGAGCCUAGGUCGGAUUAGCUAGUUGGUGAGGUAAUGGCUCACCAAGGCGACGAUCCGUAACUGGUCUGAGAGGAUGAUCAGUCACACUGGAACUGAGACACGGUCCAGACUCCUACGGGAGGCAGCAGUGGGGAAUAUUGGACAAUGGGCGAAAGCCUGAUCCAGCCAUGCCGCGUGUGUGAAGAAGGUCUUCGGAUUGUAAAGCACUUUAAGUUGGGAGGAAGGGUCGUUACCUAAUACGUGGCGAUUUUGACGUUACCGACAGAAUAAGCACCGGCUAACUCUGUGCCAGCCGCCGCGGUAAGAC